UACGUAGGUGGCAAGCGUUGUCCGGAUUUAUUGGGUUUAAAGGGUGCGUAGGCGGCUUGAUAAGUCAGUGGUGAAAGCCGAUCGCUUAACUGAUCGAAUCGACUCCGCAUUGAUACUGCCAGGCUUGGAGUAUAGUUGAGGUAGGCGGAAUUGACAGGUGUAGCGGUGAAAUGCAUAGAUAUUGUCAGAACACCAAUUGCGAAGGCAGCUUACUAAAGUAUAACGACGCUGAGGCACGAAAGUGCGGGGAUCAAAACAGG
rnacentral:rRNA from 1 species